CUUUUCGAGGUAGGAGUCGACUCCUGUGAGGUAUGGUGCUGGGUGCAGAUGCAGUGUGGCUCUGGAUAGCACCUUAUGGACAGUUGUGUCCCCAAGGAAGGAUGAGAAUAGCUACUGAAGUAAGUUGAAAAUUCCCUCUCAAAAAGGUUUAAAGCCAUUGGAUGUGCCACAAUGAUGACAGUUUAUUUGCUACUCUUGAGUGCUAGAAUGAUGAGGAUCUUAACCACCAUUAUCUUAACUGAGGCACCCAAAAUGGUGAGUUGGGGAACAUAGAGAGUACACCUAAGUUCACAUGAAGUUGUUUCUUCCCAGGUCCUAAAGAGCAAGCCUAACUCAAGCCAUUGGCACACAGGCAUUAGACAGAAAGCUGGAAGUUGAAAUGGUGGAGUCCAACUUGCCUGGACCAGCUUAAUGGUUCUGCUCCUGGUAACGUUUUUAUCCAUGGAUGACUUGCUUGGGUAAGGACAUGAAGACAGUUCCUGUCAUACCUUUUAAAGGUAUGGAGAGUCGGCUUGACUACACUGUGUGGAGCAAGUUUUAAAGAAGCAAAGGACUCAGAAUUCAUGAUUGAAGAAAUGCAGGUUAGUUUAAACUUUGAAGGAAAUUUUUAAGGUGGCAAAAGGUUUUGGUGGCAUAUACACCUUAAUCUGUAGAUGGGAGUGAUUAGCUGUUUAAAAGUUAAAAUGUGACUGAGAAGGAAAUUGAGUAGGGCAAAUUUUAAAUGGGUAUUAUUUUUCAUCUUCAAACAGGCAGACCUGUUAUCCUAAACUAGGGUUUUUAAUGACCACAACAAGCAAGCAUGCAGCUUACUGCUUGAAAGGGUCUUGCCUCACCCAAGCUAGAGUGCAGUGGCCUUUGAAGCUUACUACAGCCUCAAACUUCUGGGCUCAAGUGAUCCUCAGCCUCCCAGUGGUCUUUGUAGACUGCCUGAUGGAGUCUCAUGGCACAAGAAGAUUAAAACAGUGUCUCCAAUUUUAAUAAAUUUUUGCAAUCCA
ensembl:lncRNA GAS5 growth arrest specific 5